UGAGCAAUCUGCCUUUCUCAUCGGAAUAAGCGUUGGAAACGACGUCUAAUGCCGAAUACGACCUCCUUUCGCAUGAUCGGAGGUGGAAAGCUCCGGCGGAGAAGGAUGAGCUCGCGGCCUAUCAGCUAGUUGGUGUGGGUAAUGGCCCACCAAGGCGACGACGGGUAGCCGGCCUGAGAGGGUGACCGGCCACACUGGGACUGAGACACGGCCCAGACCUCCUACGGGAGCAG
rnacentral:rRNA from 1 species